GCAUGUCUCAGUACCGCUAGAACGUCGCUACCGAGCGGGUCGUCAGAACUUCAGGAACUUCGGGACUCGCGGCGUAUUAAGUGCCUGUAAACUAAUAAUUACCACCCCGAUUAUAAGUGCUGAGAGCGGGGUAAUAGUUUGUUUGUCGAUCGGCACGAGUUUUGUUGCUCUAACAAUUGAUAUUGUCGAGACUGCCGGCUGAGUUGUUGUGUAUUUAGGUUUAGCUGAACUCAUCACGCUGCACUCUCGAGGAAUCGUUACGAAAGCCAACGAACAGAACGUUACGCCGAGGUUACGCCAUUAAUCUCUGGAUGAGUUACAGCAAAAAUACGCGAGUAAAAUGCGGCCCGUAAUUCAAUAACCUCGUCCGUAGACAGACUCAGCCGAAUGGCCUGAUGUACGUCACCCUUAUCAAUGGACCAUAUGACGAUUCAACAAGCCUGGAACGGUGCCGACGACGACGACGAUUGUGUGUGAAGACUGUGUACGAAUCUACCCGGUGUAAAGUGUGUGAUCAUUAAGCAGAAGUAAACUUGAACCGGCAAUUGAUUAGGGAGCGGAGUUUUCGGUGAAGUGCUAGACUGUGGGGAGUAUCAGUUGAAUUGAGGACUCGCACGUGGAAGGACCGCGUGGUGGUGAAGAUCGUAGCGUAAUUCUCGAAGAAUCCGGCGCCAACAAAGCUAGCACCGAAAUGAUUGGAAUAAAGUACCUGAGCGAGGCCCACCUAAAGGGUUUCGAAAAAUACAAGUACAACAGCGUGGACACCAGCAUACUCAGCGUGUACGUGAUGCACCCGUUCUGGAACUGGCUGGUGCAGUUCUUCCCGCGGUGGAUAGCUCCGAACCUGCUGACGUUCACCGGCUUUCUGCUCACGGUGGUCAACUUCUUCCUGAUCGGGUACUACGACUUUGGCUUCACGGCGGCCACCAAGGAGGUCAAUCCGAUCCCGGGCUGGGUGUGGAUAUUGGCCGCCAUCAAUCUGUUCGUGGCGUACACGCUGGAUGGAAUUGACGGCAAGCAAGCGAGAAGGACGGGGACCAGCGGACCGCUGGGGGAACUGUUUGACCACGGGUUGGACUCGUACUCGACUCUGUUGAUCCCCUUGUACGUGUUCAGUUUGUUUGGGAUUAUGGAUCUACCCCCGGUUCGGAUGCACUUUGUGAUGCUCAACGCGUAUCUGAACUUUUACCUGUCGCACGUGGAAAAGUACAUCACGGGAGUUAUGUUUUUGCCCUGGGGUUACGACUUCGUCAUGUGGGGCGUUUCGAUUACGUUGGGCCUCACGGGAAUUUGUGGACCGGAGAUCUGGCAAAUGACUAUUUUCGGCGUUAAGCCUAGCUUGAUCUUCGAGUUGACUCUUUACAUCUCUGCUGUAUUGACGAGUCAUCCGAUUAUCAUCCACAACAUUUACAAAUCAUACCGGGACAAAACUGGUAAGAUGCGUCCGUUUGGAGAAGCAAUCCGGCCAAUGAUUUCCCUACUCUCGCUGUUCAUCAUCAGUACCAUUUGGGUCCUGGCUUCGCCCAACAGUAUUGUCAAUAUGGAGCCACGGAUGUUUAUUGUACUUAGUGGAACGAUCUUUUCUAACAUCAACUGUCGACUAAUUGUCGCCCAAAUGACUGAUACUAGGGCGGAUUGCUGGAAUGCUAUGCUCAGUUUGUUGACGGCAGCGACAAUCGUAUGUGCCAUUCCGUACGACCUAUUGGGACUGCCAAAGCUUUGGAUCGAGUACGAACGUAGCAUGUUGUAUGCGCUAGCAUUCGUGGUCACGGUUGGUCAUUUGCACUACGGACAGGGUGUAGUCCGGGAAAUGUGCAGCCACUUCCGGAUCAAGUGUUUCAAAAUACCACCGUACGGUAAGUUACUGGGCUACUAAAACAUAAGGAUUCACACACAAACGUCUAACCCCCCGCGCGUGAGAGAGAGAAAGACCCAGGUGUACUACUCCACACAGUGGCCAUCGUCGUGUAGCUGUAGAUGUGUAUAGGACAAAAAUGCAUGCAUUAUCAAAGAAAGAGCGAGAGAUCGUCAAUUUACAAACCAUCAGAGGGGGCUCCCACCUAGUGAGUGCCCAAAUAACGACGACGCCAGCCGCAGUCACGCCGAACAACACCACCACCGAUGAAAUGGUCGAAAUUGAGCUGGGAGCUUAGACGCGAAUGCAUUACUGACGAACGUGAGCGUGUAUGCGAGUAAGUACAUUGCGGAUUAAGAUUACUUAAAUUGUAAAUAAUGAUAGAAUAAAUGUCGUUGAUUCAGAAUAAAUCUGUA